GAUCCUGGCUCAGGAUGAACGCUAGCUACAGGCUUAACACAUGCAAGUCGAGGGGCAGCAGGACGAUAGCUUGCUAUUGUCGCUGGCGACCGGCGCACGGGUGAGUAACGCGUAUCCAACCUUCCCCUUAGUAGAGGAUAGCCCGGCGAAAGUCGGAUUAAUACUCUAUGUUGUAUUUUGAGGACAUCUGACGAAUACCAAAGGUUCACCGCUAAGGGAUGGGGAUGCGUCUGAUUAGCUUGUUGGCGGGGUAACGGCCCACCAAGGCGACGAUCAGUAGGGGUUCUGAGAGGAAGGUCCCCCACAUUGGUACUGAGACACGGACCAAACUCCUACGGGAGGCAGCAGUGAGGAAUAUUGGUCAAUGGGCGAGAGCCUGAACCAGCCAAGUAGCGUGCAGGAAGAACCUGCCCUAUGGGUUGUAAACUGCUUUUAUCAGGGAAUAAAGUGCGGCACGUGUGCUGUUUUGUAUGUACCUGAUGAAUAAGGACCGGCUAAUUCCGUGCCAGCAGCCGC
rnacentral:rRNA from 1 species